CAGGUGCCCCGAGGAACAACUUGACCUAGAACUGCCUAGCUUGUAGUGUUUUGAGCUGAACUUUUGUUUACCAGAGACCUGAUUUAUGGUAUUUUUGAUAUAGCAGCUGCAAAAAAUAUAAAUUCACACGAUAGAGGGCUUACCAGUUUCACCAUUUCAUUGUAUUACGCGUCUCUCUUUUUGCAAUGCUGAGGAUAGAACUCAAGGCUCUGUGUGUACUAGACAGCGCUCAUCACUGCGCCCCAUCCCCAACAUCUACUUUUUUAGUUGCAAUGUAUUCCAGCCUGGCCUGGAACUCCCUGAAAUGACUGCAAACUUCCAGUCUUCCUGCCUCUCAAGCCCAAGUGCUGCGCUUACAGGUGCACACACUUAGCUGAUGGGACCUUGGGAAGGAAUGAUGGACUGGCACUACCCCAAUGGAGUUACAUCCCCCGUCCUAUUAUUGCUAUCAUUUUAACUGAAAUAAAGCAUGUGUACAAGAUGUUUUAAAUCAUAAAACAUUAUGAAAUGUAAAAGAUUACUGUUAUAAUUUUAUUUACUGGACAUGGAAGCAUUUGCUCUCUCAUGGAAUGACUGCCUAAGUACUAAAGUUACAAUGUCAAAAUAAGUCUUGGAGGGGAAUAAGAGUUUAUACCAGUUUUGGUUUUUCUUCUCUUCCCUCUCCUCUCAGACACAGGGUCUCUCUGAAUAGCCUUGGCUGUCCUGGAAUUCACUAAGUAGACCAGGCUGGCCUUGAACUCCCAGAGAUCCACCUACCUCUGCCUCUCCAGUACUGGGAUGAAAGGCCUGUACCACUCCCUAGCCUUUUUU
rnacentral:lncRNA from 1 species